GUCAGAGGGGGCAAGCGUUAAUCGGAAUUACUGGGCGUAAAGCGUGCGCAGGCGGCUUUGCAAGACAGAUGUGAAAUCCCCGGGCUCAACCUGGGAACUGCAUUUGUGACUGCAAGGCUAGAGUACGGUAGAGGGGGAUGGAAUUCCGCGUGUAGCAGUGAAAUGCGUAGAUAUGCGGAGGAACACCGAUGGCGAAGGCAAUCCCCUGGACCUGUACUGACGCUCAUGCACGAAAGCGUGGGGAGCAAACAGG
rnacentral:rRNA from 1 species